GGUUAUAGCUCAGUGGUUGAGCACUUGCCUAGCACGUAUGAGGACCUGGGUUCAAUCCUCAGCACCA
rnacentral:tRNA from 1 species